ensembl:lncRNA
UCUUAUUGUUCUUUCCUUCCCUUCACUCCGGUGUCUGUAUUUGUGGACAAUUCCUGCCCUAGGCUUGACCUUGGCUUCAGCAGUGACUGAAGGGGUUCAAUCGCCAGCUCCGGUGGGCCUCAUUAAACUCUAAUGGAAGGAACAGGCUGGGUAGUGGUAGGAGGCGGGGGGGAACACGAGAGCAGGGCUAGAAGCAGCCUGCACGAGCAGGGCAGAGAGGAGAGGGCUGACUGAGUUAUGUGUGCUGUGUGGAAGAGAGACGUGUGAGAUCAACAAGCAGGCUCCGUCUGGAACAAAUGUCCCGAACCCUGCCUGAAAUAUGCAGCACUUCCUCACUUAGCACUGCCUCUGCCCUUUGCUUGAAGAGCAGAUCUAAGCGUGAGCCCAGGCAGAAGUCCUCCAGCCAAAGGGAGAAAGCAGUGCUGUGAGCUGCACAGGGAGAAGGAGCGCACAGCCCAGGCUGGCGCUGGGCACGGGAGUACAGACAUCUGCAGCCUGUCCACACAGCCGCACGCAUGUCCUGCUGCGUGUGCUGCUGGAGGUACCCACCUGGUGAUGCCAGGAGCUGGAGCUGAGAGAGAAAUUACGGAUGUCAGCUUCGAUGGGGAUGAACCUAUGUUUGCAGAAAGGUUGCCUUAAAACAAGAGGCAGAGAGAGAAGGGACCCCAGCUAAAGCCCCCUGGAGCUCGCAGCAUCCCAGAUGGAGGAGCUCUGCAUUCCUGGUGCAGGUGGGACAGCACACAGAGCACACACACCUCUGCUUCAGCACACAGCUGCCAAAACUACGUGAUAGCUGUGUGAGCCCAAGAAAAUGUCUACAGAGCACGCACCUACACGGAGAGCAAACAGCUCCCCCGCAGCAUAAGCGAGCCACUGCCUGAACUCGGGUCACCGAUUCCUUGUGCUCAUUCUCUACAGCUCCGUAUGGGGAGGAGGGCACAGACAGACCCUGUGCUGCCGCUCACCCUCCAGCAACACGUGCUGCCCAGGGGUGCCUCGCUCUGGCUCUGUGCUUUCUGCUGGGGUCUGCGCAGCCACAGGCAGGGCAGAAUCAGAGGAAUAAGAAAGGAAAUGGGAAACCGAUUCCUGCCAUUUUCCUAGGCUGCAGCGAAUGCAAAUGUAGCUCAUCUUGAACUCUGUUCCCAUCUGUUUAAUUUGUUGUAGACUGGCAUUUAUAUGUAUGUACUGUGGCAUUUAUUCUGUAUCUACUGAAUGAAUCCAGAGUGUUUUCUAACACGCGGUUUGGUGUCACGGUUGUACGUGCACGGGUAUUUCCACAUAGGACAUACAUGUGCGUGGAGCAUGGUUGUGGUUAUUCAACUAACAGAGGUCCGAACAGCUCUGAUGGUCAGUGACAAAGGAGGAGCCCCGCAUCACCCAGGAAUACAGCUGUGCCCCACAGACACUCCCCAGAAGGAGCUCCCCAGCCACACGCCCUGCCCCUGCCCCAGGCACAGCACCAUAUGGCCACUGCACAUUGGCACCAGCUGCAGCCCUCAAUGGGAACCACCGUGGUGGCUCCCAGAGCCUCAGCGCUGGGGUGGCAGAAAGGCCAUGAGGAGACGUCAGGAGUGCCUCUGCUGCAAAACGGCACAAGACGGAAACAACGGUGCGAGCAUUACGUUCACUGUACAACUCGAUCUGUUUCCAUUAUGUGGCACUGGCAAGUCUGC